CUGAGAUCUCGGUGUUGAGAAAGAGGGGGAGCUCCGCUGUUUCCUGUGCUGUAGCUCCCGUUGCAGCGGCGCCCGUGGCAGCCCUGGCGGACGCAGGAGCGAUGGCAGCGACCGAUAUAGCUCGCCAGGUGGUGAGUGCGGGGCUUGGGUGCCAGCGCCGGGGCCCGGGCUGGGGGCAUGGGAAGGACCGAGGGGACCUGACCGCGAGGAGGGCAGUGGGCAGCAUCCAGGAGCCAAGGCAUGGCGAGACUUCUGCUCCCGGGAUCAGCGGCUCAGUCCCGCAGCCUGUCUCCGAGAACGGUGGCGGCGGGGCCGGGUGGGGGCCUGGCCCAGGCUGCAGGCGGGCUGCUGAACUCGCCUUGCCCAGGAGCUGCAGUAAGCGCCGCCGCCUCCCUCGCUGCAGCUGCGGUCCCGUCGCUGGGGCGUUGCCGAAUGAAUGGCCGCGCGAGCCGCCG
rnacentral:lncRNA from 1 species